UGUAUUUCAAUAGAUUUUGCCCGAGAGCGCGUUAGAACAUAAAUACGAGCUGCUACGUGAAUACAGUGUGCUGGUAUAUUUUAAGCGUUAUGUUAAUGAAGAAACGUUUGGCGGUAUCCCAAGCCUCGAUGCCACUAGAGCAGUUUAUACUCAACAGCGCGAAAUGCCUUUUAAGCGGAAAGCGAAGCUUCCAAAGAGCAUUAGGAAUAAUUCCAGGAAGAUGCUUGAUGCUGCCGAAUAUGUGCCAAGUCACUUUUCGAUUGGUCGUAAAGUGGUACUUUUCAAUGGCAUUAACAAUAUCGAUUGUAUCGAAGUAUGUUGUUGUUUAGGUAUUUUUAUUUAUAUGUUAUUGUUUGUAUAGUAUAUCGAAUAUCGAAUAAAAUACAACUUAUUCCAAGUA